AGAGUUUGAUCCUGGCUCAGAAUCAACGCUGGCGGCGUGCCUCAGACAUGCAAGUCGAACGAUUAAAGCCCUCUUCGGAGGGUGCAUAAAGUGGCGCACGGGUGAGUAACACGUAAGUAAUCUACCUUCGAGUGGGGAAUAACGUUCGGAAACGAACGCUAAUACCGCAUAAUGCAGCGGCAUCUAUGAUGACAGUUGUUAAAGAUUUAUCGCUUGAAGAGGAGCUUGCGGCAGAUUAGCUAGUUGGUAAGGUAACGGCUUACCAAGGCAACGAUCUGUAUCCGGUCUAAGAGGACGGUCGGACACACUGACACUGAAUAACGGGUCAGACUCCUACGGGAGGCAGCAGUCGGGAAUUUUGGGCAAUGGGCGAAAGCCUGACCCAGCAACGCCGCGUGAAGGAUGAAGUUUUUCGGAAUGUAAACUUCGUAAGAAUAGGAAGAAUAAAUGACGGUACUAUUUGUAAGGUCCGGCUAACUACGUGCCAGCAGCCGCGGUAAUACGUAGGGACCAAGCGUUGUUCGGAUUUACUGGGCGUAAAGGGCGCGUAGGCGGCAAUUCAAGUCAUCUGUGAAAUCUCCGGGCUUAACUCGGAACGGUCAGGUGAUACUGCUUUGCUAGAGUGCAGAAGGGGCAAUCGGAAUUCUUGGUGUAGCGGUGAAAUGCGUAGAUAUCAAGAGGAACACCUGAGGUGAAGACGGGUUGCUGGGCUGACACUGACGCUGAGGCGCGAAAGCUAGGGGAGCAAACGGGAUUAGAUACCCCGGUAGUCCUAGCCCUAAACGAUGAAUACUUGGUGUCUGGAGUUUUUAUCCUCCGGGUGCCGUCGCUAACGUUUUAAGUAUUCCGCCUGGGGAGUACGCACGCAAGUGUGAAACUCAAAGGAAUUGACGG
rnacentral:rRNA from 1 species